GUCUCACAGUUGGCUGCAACACUUCCUUGAUUCUGAGGGAGGGAGUGAAAUGCUGAAGUCUUUUGUUCAGCAGGGGAUGUGCCGCUAAGGCCAGAAUUAAGCAAGUUUCAAGAGGACUGCCUGUAAAGAGUAGUCAAAGCCCAACCUCUCUGCAAAAGAGGAAUGUGUGGCGUCCAUCCAUAUGAGACCAUCACAUCAAGUAAUUAAAAAUAGAAAUUGAAGAUUUGGAAAGACACCUGGAAUCAUAAUCAGUAUGGAAACAGAACCAUGGAAAGACGGAAAACACAUAUUCCUAAAAUACAAUGAUUUAUUUUAGCCCCAGAUAGGAC
ensembl:lncRNA